GUGGUGGAUUUGCUUCCCGUUCCGUCCUAGCGGCGGAGGAUGAGUAAUACUCACGAGUCUGCCUAUUCAUGGGGUAGACAUCUCUCAAGGGAUGCUGAUAUCGCGUACGCCCUACUGGGGAAACCAGGGGAUCACUUGUGACCUUGCGUUAUUAUAUNAGCCUAAGUCGGAUUAGCUCCUUGGUGGGGUAAAGGCCUACCAAGGCCACAAUCUGUAGCGGGUCUGAGAGGAAGAUCCGCCGCACUGGGACUGAGACGCAGCCCAGACUCCUACCGGAGGCCUCCGGGGGGAAUAUUGGACAAUGNGGGGAACCCGGAUCCAACCAUGCCGCAUGUGUGANGAAGGCCUUAUGGUUGUNAACCAAUUUAAGCGAUCAGGAGGCUCUUAUGAUUAAUACCGAAGAUGACUGGACGUUUCUCGCAGAAUACUCACCGGCUAACUCUGUGCCACUACCCGCCGUAAUACACAGGGUGCGAGCGUUAGUCGGAUUUACUGGGARUAAAGCGUGCGUGGGCGGCUUUUUAAGUCGGAUGUGAAAUCCCCGAGCUUAACUUGGGAAUUGCAUUCGAUACUGAGAAGCUAGAGUAUGGGAGAGGAUGGUAGACUUCCAGGUGGUGCCAUUGAAAUGCGUAAAGAUCUGGAMGAAUACCGAUAGGSGAAGGCGGCCAUCUGGSAUAAUACUGACGCUGAGGUACGAAAGCUUGGAGAGCAAGCAGGAUUAGAUACCCUGGAUACCCAUUCCGUAAACGAUGUCUACUAGCCGUUGGGGCCGUUGAGGCUUUACUGGCGCAUCUACCGCGAUAAGUAGACCGCCUGGGGAGUACGGUCGCAAGACUAAAACUCAAAUGAAUUGACGGGGGGCCCCACAAGCGGUGGAGCAUGUGGUUUAAUUCGAUGCAAUGCGAAGAACCUCACAUGGUCUCGACAUAGUAAGAACUUUCCAGAGAAGGAUUGGCGCUUUGGGGAAAANACAUAAAGGUGUGNAAUGGCGUUGUCAAGCUGGUUUCGUGAGAUGUUGGGUAAAUUCCCGCAACGAGCGCAACCCUUUUCUUUAUUUGCCACCACUUCGGGGGCGAACUUUAAGGAUACCGCCAGUCACAAACUGGAGGAAGGGGGGGGAGAUGUCAAGUCAUCAUGGCCCAACGACCAGGGAUACACACGUGACACAAUGCUCGGUACAAAGGGGUUAAACCUAGCGAUCGGAUGAUAAUCUCAAAAAGCCGAUCAUAGUCCGGAUUGGAGUGUGCAACUCGACUCCAAGAAGUGGGAAUCGCUUGUAAUCGCGGAUCCGAAUGCCGCGGAGAAUACGUUCCCGUGCCGUGCACACCCCCCCCCUCACCCCAUGGGAGUUUGACGCACCAGAAGUAGGUAGUCUAACCGUAAGGAGGACGCUACCAC
rnacentral:rRNA from 1 species